UCGUCUGAACUCCUGUUGAGAAAAGGAAUAGCUGACUUCAGCAGAGGGCUACGUAACCCUGUCAUAAAGGCUACAUAUGUUAUGUCUAACCCCCUCCUUGUGCCUGCCUGGUAUCUGGUCCCCACCCAGAGAUUAUCUUGAAGCUUUUGUCUUAGGUUUCCUCUGUGUGUGGCUGAACAGGGAGCCGUGAUACCAACUAGACUGGUGAGUUUUGGUUAAUGAGUACGUUUGGUAAUUGUCAUGUGAAAUGAAUCUAGUCAUUGUAUCUUAACCAGAGCCUCUGCCUUAGCCACAAGCUAUAACCAGUCUAGUGUUCAUACUCACUGCAAACAAGGGUGAACAGUUGCUGUUUGGUAGUCAUGGUGACUCUGGCUCCUGGUGAUGACACCCGCACGCGUCUUACGCCCUGCGUCGACGACAGAACCUGCAAAGGUGGACCCACUGGCGUUGCCAGGCCAGCAAGGGGACAGCUGGUUGGGGUUACCAACUGUCUGAUGGGACCAGAGACUCACACAAAAUGGCUGUUGGCUCUGCGUUGAUCCAAAAUGGCCGCCAUUAGAUUUAAGAUAAAGAAGUAGAUGCAAGAUCAUUCAUGAAAUGCUAGUAGCAGCACAAAUCACUGGGGCGGAUGGGCCGCUCAGAAUGUAGUCAGUUUAUUUAUUGAUGGUACUGCAAUAUAAUAAAGAGUUUAAGCAGGAUAUAAGUUAGGAUACUGACUUGCAAAUAACUAUGUUCUUGUCCUGAUGUAGUACAGGGCCCUUGUCAGCACUCCCAUAUUUAGUCUCUCAGGGUGGUAGUGCUGGUCUAGGAUCAGUUGUCUUUCAGAUAGUUGUGUUACCUCCCCAGCUGAUUGGUUACCCCUCUGAUCUAUCAGCCAAUAAAGCAGUCUUUAAUGUCCUGCUGUUCAGCAUGUUUAUUUAGCCUCCUCUCCUUCAGGUCCUGAUGGUGGUACCAGACUGGUCACUAGAAGAUGCCUGUUACUGAACUACCUCAAGGUUUCUGCCCCCUGGUUGAGGUCCUAGUGUCUGCAGUGUUUGGAAAGAUCUCGUUGGCUGCUGAAGUGUUGCUGUGCUGGUGGGGUGUGAAGGUGUGUAGUGGGAAUGACUUACGGUUCCAGUAUUAUAAUGCACUGAGUAUAGAGGACAUUAAGAACACAUUCCUAAUAUUGAGUUUGCUCUCAGAACAGUAAGCUCCAGUAGCUGGAUGUCCUUUGGGUGGUGGACCAGUGUUGAUACACAUGAGAAACUGGUGCACCUGGCACCUACCAUACCUCAUUCAAAGGAACUUAAAUCUUUGUCUUGCCCGUUCACCCUCUGAGUGGUACACAAUCCAUAUCUUGUUUAAAAACCCAUUUUAACCUGUCUGCAUCUACACUGAUUUAACAAGUGACUUCAAUAAGGGCUAGCUUUCACCUGGUCUGGUUAAUGUAUUGUCCACUCAGUGUAAAUGUGUUGUAAUGGAAAAGGGGGGCAGAUCAAUACUAGGAAGAUGUUGUUAAUGUCCUGUUGAAUGUUCCUCUUGGAUCAUCACUCUGACCCAUGCAGUUUGUUAGACACUGACCUGAUGAGUCAUCAUUACCGCCCCAGUCUGAUUGGUUACGCUCUGAUCAAGUCAUCUCAUACCUUGUGUAUUAGUCCCUACAGUAUCACCAGGGUUUAAUUCUCACACUAUUUUCCCUCUAGCUCUCCUGUUGUACACCGGCAAGCCCUCUUGCACUCCUGUUUGGUCAGCAAGGAAGUGGGACGUCUCGUUGGAACUGGGGAGAACCAGGCCAAGUCAAUUCAACCCUGUGACUGUUUUGAUGUAUAAAUAAAUCUACAAAUUAAUGCUUGUCCUAUUUUUCUUUCUUGGUGGUAGUAAAUCAGACUUGGUGAAUUUGGCCAUUUUGAAUGAACCAUGUGAUGUUCUGAAUUCCAUACUGAACAAUGUGACAUUUCCUGUCAUCUCAUAUCAUUAUGUAGUUAUUCUAGGUGGUUGUACUUCAAUUAUUUUAAGCCAUUAAUUUGUUUCUGAAUGGAUGUUAUUGUGAGUAGCAUGUGUAGUCGUGAAGUGGGCUUUGACACGAUGGGACAGUUUAAUAAUUUAGGGAAUAAACUCAGUUGACGCUGCUAUCAGAACUGCCAAAGAUGGUGGAUAAAUAAAGCGUACACUCAGGCCCGUUACCAUGGGACGAAAUGAAAAUUACGGUGUGUGACAUGGAUAUCAAUGUGCCACCUUGUAGUCCCGAAAACCCUAAAUGUGAUUCAUCUGGUUCGUUCAACCAUUACUAUAGUGGAAAGAUUAGGGUUUUGGGAUCAGUGUGAAAACAAGGCGCUGCAUGGUCAACCUGUUUACGUUGGUCGUGAAGCAUUUACGGUGACUUGGUCUCUGCCGAAGUCGGGCCAUUCAUAAUUUCGCGGAGCAAUGCAGAGCUGGUUGAUGGUAGGUCCUGUAUAAACACAAUCGUAUGAAUUUAGAGCAAUUUGGAGCCCCGAAUUGUUACACAAUGAGGCGCACAGUGAUGCGGUAUGGAACUCAAUUUGGGCUCUGACCACUACAAGGUAAUUCAGUGUUUGCUCUUUUGACCCUAGUUCCCGGACACAGAUUGAUAGUGCAGCAGAACACCACUGGAUAGAAUACCUGUAUGUCUCUAGUGGUGAACUGGGAUAGUGCAGCAGAAUGCAACAGUGCUAUAAUCUUGGCCAUAAAGUGGUUCGGCAAAAUUUGAUCAGGAAUUAAGACUAUUAGUGUAUGCGACAAUGUAUAUACAAAAAUAAGAUUAUUGGUAUAAAGGUCUUUUAUCACUCAGAUGGAUGGUAUUUUCUGUGGCAUUAAAAAGGUCUUCGUCUGACAUUGGACAUGGUGCCAAAUAACCUUUCACCUGACU
rnacentral:lncRNA from 8 species